AUACUGGACUUUUGAAAGAGGGCAAAAGCAAUUUUGAGUAUGAGAUCAGUGUUAAAGCAACUGAUGCUGAUAAAGAGACAGGUAAUUCUGAAGUAAUAUAUUCAAUAGUAAAUGCUAGUCAAGGCCUUUCAAAGAGUUUUUUCAUAAAUGCACAAAAUGGAAUUAUUACUGCAUUAAAUAUAGAUUAUGAAAGCCUGACUGAUAAUGUCAUCCAGUUAGUAGUCAAAGCUGAAGAUAAUGGAAGACCAGUUAAGGAAGAUAUUGCUCUUGUUAAUAUCACUGUAUUGAACCUCCCUGACCUCCAGGUGAGCAGUGCCCUCUCCAAAUGGAGCUGCUCAGACACCCAUGCAGCAACUGAAUCUUACCACUGUCAUGGGCAGGCAACAAGGAGACAACUUUAUAUCUAGCAUGGGCCGCCUACGUGCAGGUUGCUGACGACAUGCUUCCAACCCUUCAGGUCUGCAUGCUUUACCAUCUUCCCAUAACCGCAGGACUUCCAAAUAAAAAAUAAAAUAAAAAUAUACUAAAAAUAUAUAAAUAUAUACUAAAAAUAAAGAUACAUAUAUACUAAAAAUAAAAUAAAUAUAUAUAGGGGGAAAAAAAGAAAAAAGCGCAUAUCGAGCAGAGGCCAGCAAUGCCUGUGCAGAGUUUUAGGUCCAAUAAGGCUUGCACGACACCUCAUAGACCCUCUCCACAUACAUGCAUACGUACAUACAUGCAUACGUACAUACAUGCAUACGUACAUACAUGCAUGCGUACAUACAUACAUACAUGCAUACAUGCAUACGUACAUACAUGCAUACAUGCAUAUGUACAUACAUGCAUACGUACAUACAUACAUAUGUACAUACAUGCAUACGUACACACAUGCAUGCAUGUAUGUAUAUGCAGACAGACAUGCAUAAAUAUAUAUUUAUAUAUUACAGCAUAUUAAUAAUGUGUGUGUAUGUAUGUGCAUGUACAUGUAUGUGUGUGUAUAUAUAUCAUCAUCAUCAUCAUCAUCAUCACAGAAAACGGAUGUUAGAUGAUGAUGCUGUUAUACACAUAUAUACAAACAUGUACGUACAUACACACAUAUUAGUAUUGUGUAAUUAAAAAAAAAAUAUUCUAUUAGGUAUUUAUUGUAUCUAAAUAACCAAGUUGUAGAUGUAUAAUCAAAACUUUGAAGCUUGAGAGUAUAUAUUAAUAUUACAAAAUAAUAAGCUGUAAAUAAUAAAGCACUGAACUGUUUGAAUUGUUAGAAAACUGAAAAACAAUAAUGGCAUGUGAUGUUUCUUCUAGCUCUUUAUUUUCUGUGUUCAAAUCUUACCAAGAUCAACUUUGCUUUUUAUCCUUUCAGAUUAAUCAAAUAAAGUACCAAUCAAUACUUUGGUACCAACUAGUUUUUUUCACUUAAAACUUCUGGCCUUGUGCCUAAAUUAAAAACUACUGUUAUGAAAUAAUGGUAAAGUAACAGUGAAUGUCACAGUGUGUGAGAGUGUUUGGUACUUAUUAUCUCCACCUUAGCAAAAGUGGAGGUAUUAUUUUCAGUCGUGUUUGUUUGUCUGUGGACAAGAUAUCUCAAGAACCGCUGGAUAAAUUUGGAUGACACUUUCAGGGAUGUUUUGCCUUGUGACUGGAAUGAACUGAUUAGAUUUUGAGAUUGAUCCACUACUGGACAAAGAUUCUGGAUUAUUUUUCUGAUUUUUUUACUUAAUUUUUGGGCAGGGUUGGGUUCAUUUUUAGUAUUCUCAUUUAUUUUACAACUGAAUUUUUAAAACUUACCUCCAACUUUUAUGUUAUGCUAUUUUUUGGAAAAAAUGAAUACCAUUUUCAAACUUUUUAAGCUUUGAACAUGAGAGAUUCAAAAUCUAUAAGAAACAAAUUUUUUUCUUAAUCAGAAACAGAUAACUGUUAGGUGAUUUCUACCAACAAUAUACUGAAUGUGUGUGUAUGUGUGUCAAUAUAUUUCAUUUGCAUUGAAAAUAUAUACAUAGUUUUUGUUUGUAUUUGAAAGUUACAGUUAUUUUACUUUCUGAAAAUUGAAGAUGCUGUUAUUUCAAUUUUAAUGUAUUAGGAAUGGAAAUAUAAUUAUAAAUAUAUUUCAAAUACAGAUGAAAUAUAUUUAUUCACACAAAAAAAAAAAAAAAAUGUAUUGUGACUGUAAAUCCCUUAACCUCAAAGAAUUUCUGUUAAAAAAAAGUAAUGACUGAAAAAUUUUGUUACAAAAUGCUUUUUUGGUAGAUUCUAAAUCUCUGAUGUUCAAAAUAUAAAAACUUGAAAAUCAUUUAAAGAAAAAAUAUAGCAUAAUAAAGGAAGUUUGAGGGAGGAAGUGGUUAACAAAAGCCACAGUAAAAAGAAUGGGAGAGUGUUAUUACUGGUUACAAUGACUUUGUAAUGAUGGACUUACUUUGGUUACAAUCCACCAUCUCAGAUUAAAUCACUUAGCAAAUAGAUAGAACUCAGGAAUUAAUUUUUCUACAAAUAAGUUUCAUUUAUUUAGGAUUUUAUGAUUAAUAGUUUAUUUUUAUUGUUGGCCUAUUUAGUUAAGUUGUGUAUAUGUUAGUAGUACAUCAGAUCUUUGGAUAAUCAGGAAACUAAAGACUUGCACUUGAUAAUUAUAAGGUUGACUUAUAUUUCUUAGGACUUGUAUUGCAUAUUAAUAUUGUUUAUUUUUAAUCUGAGAUACAAGGCCAGCAAUUUUUUAGGG